AUUGAAUGCGCUACACCCAGUCCAGUAGGAGGCGCUAAUGACCCUUCAGUUGCCAACCGCCACUCAGGCCAAAAGCGCAGAAGAACAAAAAUGACCGGGAAAAUCUGACAGGAGUGAGAAGAUGAUAACAGCACAGCGGGGUUUUAGAAGCCCAUCAGAGUGAUUUCCUGAGCUCUUUCGCAUAUGCUGUAUGGUCAGAGAAUGGAUGGAUUAUCCAGUCACGGUACAUAAUGAAAGACUUGACUGAGUUAGAAGAAGCUGAGCGACUCUUCAGAGUGAAGAUGUUAUGAUGCAGUUAUGUCAAAGUACUUGUUUUGGCUGGCCAGAUUGGAACAGACCUGAAUGGGAAGAUGGCAGAGCUAAGACUGACAAUGUCCAGGAAAAAUGUUAACUAAAAAUGAGUGUGUUUUUCCCCAGCGAGUGAGUUUGGGAAUGUUUUAAAUGUGCCUAGAAGUUUGAAAAUGUAAUACUGAGGGAAAAAAGUGAGCGCUUUGAAAAGGCUUUAAAAAGAAAAUAAAGUCUGAAGUUGAUGUUAAAUGAAGUUAAAAUUUUUACUUGAAAAGUUUGUACUUGUUUGUACUUGUCAAGUCUGUGCUGAAAAAAUGCAGUAAAGUUUGUAUUUGAAAAGACUUGGAAUUGUGUGUUCUGUAGAAUGAGUACAAAUAUAUGUGUAGGCUGUAUAAAAAAACAUAGUUGUGCCACUAAUAUAAGUGAAAGUACAUGGUGGCAUCAUAUAAGAAGCAUAUUUGUAUCCCUAAUAUAAGUGAAAGUACAUGGUGGCAUCAUAUAAGAAGCAUAUUUGUAUCCCUAAUAUAAGUGAAAGUACAUGGUGGCAUCAUAUUUGAAGCAUAUUUGUAUCCCUAAUAUAAGUGAAAGUAUGUACUAUGGAAAUAAGUACAUAUAUGCAUGUAUACAUAUAUGUGUCUUACAUAUAUUUCACAUGUAUGUCCAUAUAUGGGAAAAUAUAUGGCACUUAUAUGAAAACGGCCAUUUUUGCUAUAUUUUGAAAUAUAUUUUCCAUAUAUGUCCAUGUAUUUUACAUAUAUGAAUUUUGCAUAUUUAAUAUAUGCAGCAGACAUACAUGGGCACUGAUAUUAUAUAUGUAAUUUACAUAUAUUGACAUAUAUUACAUUUCUGUAU